UGGGGAAUAUUGGACAAUGGGCGCAAGCCUGAUCCAGCCAUGCCGCGUGAGUGAAGAAGGCCCUCGGGUUGUAAAGCUCUUUUGUCCGGAAAGAAAAGCAUCGGGUUAAUACCCCGGUGUUCUGACGGUACCGGAAGAAUAAGCACCGGCUAACUUCGUGCCAGCAGCCGCGGUAAUACGAAGGGUGCAAGCGUUACUCGGAAUUACUGGGCGUAAAGCGUGCGUAGGUGGUUCGUUAAGUCUGAUGUGAAAGCCCUGGGCUCAACCUGGGAAUGGCAUUGGAAACUGGCGGACUGGAGUGCGGUAGAGGGUAGCGGAAUUCCCGGUGUAGCAGUGAAAGGCGUAGAGAUCGGGAGGAACAUCCGUGGCGAAGGCGGCUACCUGGACCAGCACUGACACUGAGGCACGAAAGCGUGGGGAGCAAACA
rnacentral:rRNA from 1 species